UCCCUGGUGGCUCAGUGGUAAAGAAUCUGCCUGCAAAGCAGAAGACGUGGGAUCCAUCCCUGGCUUGGGAA
rnacentral:tRNA from 1 species